ACUCCUACGGGAGGCAGCAGUGGGGAAUUUUGGACAAUGGGGGCAACCCUGAUCCAGCCAUGCCGCGUGCGGGAAGAAGGCCUUCGGGUUGUAAACCGCUUUUAUUUGGGAAGAAGGAGUAGGGGCUAAUACCCUCUAUGACGGACGGUACCGGAUGAAUAAGCACCGGCUAACUACGUGCCAGCAGCCGCGGUAAUACGUAGGGUGCGAGCGUUAAUCGGAAUUACUGGGCGUAAAGCGUGCGCAGGCGGUUCGAAAAGUCAGCUGUGAAAGCCCCGGGCUUAACCUGGGAAUGGCGGUUGAAACUCUCGGACUAGAAUCUGGCAGAGGGGGGUGGAAUUCCACGUGUAGCAGUGAAAUGCGUAGAGAUGUGGAGGAACACCGAUGGCGGAGGCAGCCCCCUGGGCUGAGAUUGACGCUCAGGCACGAAAGCGUGGGGAGCAAACAGGAUUAGAUACCCUGGUAGUCCACGCCCUAAACGAUGUCAACUAGGUGUCGGGAGCGCAAGUUCUUGGUACCGCAGCUAACGCGUGAAGUUGACCGCCUGGGGAGUACGGUCGCAAGAUUAAAACUCAAAGGAAUUGACGGA
rnacentral:rRNA from 1 species